rnacentral:rRNA from 1 species
AUUGAACGCUAGCGGGAUGCUUUACACAUGCAAGUCGAACGAGUGGCGGACGGGUGAGUAAGAAAUCGGAACGUGCCCAGUGGAGGGGGAUAAGAAACCGAAAGUAGGGCUAAGACCGACUAGCUUGGGAGCGGCCGGUAUCGGCUUAGCUAGUGGGUGGGGUAAAGGCUCCCCACGGCAACGAACCGUAGCUGGUGUGAGAGGACGACCAGCCACACUGGGACUGAGACACGGCCCAGACUCCUACGGGAGGCAGCAGUGGGGAAUUUUGGACAAUGGGGGAAACCCUGAUCCAGCCAUCCCGCGUGUAUGAGAAGGCCUUCGGGUUGUAAAGUACUUUUGGCAGGGAAGCGGUAUCUGCAGAAUAAGCACCGGCUAACUACGUGCCAGCAGCCGCGGUAAUAC